GAGACUGGACCAGGAGGAAGCUCAGUACCAGCGAGAAUAUAGUGAAUUUAAAAGGCAGCAGCUGGAGCUGGAUGAUGAGCUCAAGAGUGUAGAGAACCAGAUGCGCUAUGCCCAGAUGCAGCUGGACAAGCUCAAGAAAACCAAUGUCUUCAAUGCGACCUUCCAUAUCUGGCACAGCGGACAAUUUGGCACGAUCAAUAAUUUCAGACUGGGUCGCUUGCCCAGUGCUCCUGUGGAAUGGAAUGAAAUCAAUGCUGCCUGGGGCCAGACAGUGUUGUUGCUCCAUGCUUUGGCCAAUAAGAUGGGUCUGAAAUUUCAGAGGUGAGAAAAUGCAGCUCUUCAUGGAACCCUGGGUGAUGUGUGUCUUCGAUGUAAUCUGUCAGCUCCGCUGUGGCAAGAACCCUUGCUGAAAGCAGACAGUUUCCUGUGGGUGAAGGGCCUAUGUGUGGUUUCCCUCAUCACAGGGCUCUCGCCUGCGAUGCCACGCAGUAAUCAUCAAAGUGUAUGACUAGCAGUGCUCUCCAACAGUUUUCAGAACCUAAUUUUUUCCUAAAAUAAGUUUCAGUUUUUGGUUUGUUUGUUUUUUUUUUUUUUCUUUUUUCUUUUUUUCGGAGCUGGGGACCGAACCCAAGCGCUCUACCACUGAGCUAAAUCCCCAACCCCAUCAGUUUUUGUUUUUAAAAUUCUACCAGCCCAACCGUUUGAUAUUUGUGGUCCCCAAAUGAGUUGAACCUCAUUCAUAGCUAUCCUGGGACAAAGGUAACCCACAGGCUGAAAGUUAUAUGUACCUUCUAAAUCCAAAAAAAAAAAAAAAAAAAAAA
rnacentral:lncRNA from 1 species